CCUACGGGAGGCAGCAGUGAGGAAUAUUGGUCAAUGGGCGGGAGCCUGAACCAGCCAAGUCGCGUGAGGGAAGACGGUCCUAUGGAUUGUAAACCUCUUUAGGCGGGGAGCAAUGCCGGGCACGCGUGCCCGGAGGGAGAGUACCCGCAGAAUAAGCAUCGGCUAACUCCGUGCCAGCCGCCGCGGUAAUACGGAGGAUGCGAGCGUUAUCCGGAUUUAUUGGGUUUAAAGGGUGCGUAGGCGGAUUUUUAAGUCAGCGGUAAAAUGUCCGGGCUCAACCCGGGCCGGCCGUUGAAACUGGGGAUCUUGAGUGGGCGAGAAGUAUGCGGAAUGCGUGGUGUAGCGGUGAAAUGCAUAGAUAUCACGCAGAACUCCGAUUGCGAAGGCAGCAUACCGGCGCCCGACUGACGCUGAGGCACGAAAGCGUGGGGAUCGAACAGGAUUAGAAACCCUGGUAGUC
rnacentral:rRNA from 1 species